rnacentral:antisense_RNA from 1 species
CUUGACCGACCCCAACCAGAGCGGCUCGGCCGCCCCUGCCCAUAGGUCGCCAACAACGCCUGCGCCUC